GUCUAUGUAGAUUAAGUUUGAAAUUAUUAGGCUGUUAACCUAAAGAUGAGGUGUUUAAGUAUUUCCAUGGAUG
rnacentral:tRNA from 1 species